GUGCCUACGGGAGGCAGCAGUGGGGAAUAUUGCGCAAUGGGCGAAAGCCUGACGCAGCGACGCCGCGUGAGGGAUGAAGGUCUUCGGAUCGUAAACCUCUGUCAGCAGGGAAGAACGGUCACUGUGCUAAUCAGCAGUGAAUUGACGGUACCUGCAAAGGAAGCACCGGCUAACUCCGUGCCAGCAGCCGCGGUAAUACGGAGGGUGCGCGCGUUAAUCGUAAUUACUGGGCGUAAAGCGCUCGUAGGCGGUAUGUCAAGUCAAGGGUGAAAUCCCCGCGUUCACCGUGGGACCUGCUUUUGAAA
rnacentral:rRNA from 1 species